GACGAACGCUGGCGGCGUGCUUAACACAUGCAAGUCGAACGGAAAGGCCCUGCUUUUGUGGGGUGCUCGAGUGGCGAACGAGUGAGUAACACGUGAGUAACCUGCCCUUGACUUUGGGAUAACUUCAGGAAACUGGGGCUAAUAUCGGAUAGGAGCUCCUGCUGCAUGGAGGGGGUUGGAAAUUUUCGGCGGUCGGGGAUGGACUCGCGGCUUAUCAGCUUGUUGGUGGGGUAGUGGCUUACCAACGCUUUGACGGGUAGGCGGCCUGAGAGGGUGACCGGGCACAUUGGGACUGAGAUACGGCCCAGACUCCAACGGGAGGCAGCAGUGGGGAAUAUGGCACAACGGGCGGAAGCCUGAUGCAGCAACGCCGCGUGCGGGAUGACGGCCUUCGGGGUGUAAACCGCUUUCGCCUGUGACGAAGCGUGAGUGACGGUAAUGGGUAAAGAAGCACCGGCUAACUACGUG
rnacentral:rRNA from 1 species